rnacentral:lncRNA from 1 species
CCCACCCGGCCCCCACCCUGCUGCGCUCCACCAGCUUCCAUGGGACCUGCUGCUGGCAACUGGGGGGAGCUGGUGGCCCAUGCUGUGGGAACCUUGUUGGGUGCCCGCCCCACGUCUAGCCUCCUGUUAGAGACUUAUUUUAAUUUUUAAAGAAAGGAUUUUGAGCUGACAUCAUCCCUGGUUUGCAAAGAAGGCUUGCAGUUUUGAGGGUUCCUGUAUGCCAUGGGCCCUGCCUCUGUCCCUAUAUUUCCCCUCUCCACCAUGGCCACACUAGUAAAUUGGUCAACAGAUACUUACUUGUACCUGUCCCUUACCAAUGGGCCCGUGUCCCUAGGCCUCCCCACUUAAACAUUCUCAAGAGAGCCAGGGAUGGCCACCUUGCAUAUGCUCCUCCAGUCACCUUAUAUUUGUAAAAUGGCAUCUCUUUAGCCUGUUGUCCUCUCAGUGGAGGUGUGGAAGCUCUCUUCUUCCUGGGGGGCAAGAGGCAAGGAGAGGCGCUCAUUUUGGCAGAAUUACAGCCCGCUCUUUGGGGGCGGGUGUGUCCCCUGGUGGCUGGAGAUGCCUCUCAGGGGCCCCUUUCUGAAAAAGGCCCAUUGCGCUGUGGUUACUUUAGGAGCCAGGCUGGGAGAAUGGCCCCCAUGCGGAGACACCGGAGAAUCGUGGUGAAGGGCAAAGGUUCAAAUGCCUCGUCCCUCGUUUAUUACUACUGUGACUUUAGGCCCAUCUUCACCCCUGUGAGCCUCAGGUUUCUCAUUUGUAAAAGGGAAUAAUAACAGUGCCUAUAGCAUGGGGCUGCUGGGGGGUGAGAUGAAACAGUGCUGGUAAGGUGCUUGGCACAAGGCUUGGCAGGUGGUAAUAAGGGACAACUACUAUUGAUAUUAUGCUGUUACUACUCCUUCCUCCCCAUCUGUCAUCAGGAGGGCAGGAAGGCGGAGGGCUCAGGCCUGUCCCUGUGUUCGGGUGUCAGGAUGCCCAAGGCCAGGCUGGAGCCCGGGCCCAGAGGCUGCGGCCACCAGAAUUCUGCUGAAGUGUACUUGCCAAACCAGCAAAACGAACAGGGUGGCCCAACAGGGAGCCCUGAAGGGAGCAGGGACGAGGCUUGCUGUGCCCAGGCCAGGCUCUUGGACCCCAAGGUGGCAGUCCUUGGGCUGGCCUGGCCCAGGGAGGAGUUGAUACCCAGUCUCCCAGACGCUGGCGCCAUCUUGGUUCUCCUUGGCCUCUCAUUAGCAGUCGGGAGCGUGGCCCUUGCCCUCCCCUGGGAGCAGGUGGCCUUUGCAGCUUGGCACCUGUUCCUGGAGGGCGGCUGCCAGGAAGGUGCAAACCUGGGAAUCGCCCUGUGCGUCCUCCGAGUCGUUGCACGAGGCGUGUGUGGUCCCAGAGGAGCUCACCUGGGCCUGUCUUGGUGGAGGAAGCCAGAGAGGGGCUUGUUCUCUAUCCCAGAGCCCCCUCCAUGCUUUCCAGUGAGUCACGGGAGAGCCAGGACCAGCGUCCUAAGGUCUGUGUGCUGGGGGCUGGUUGAGGGGCACCGGGAGACGGGUGAAAGAAUAUGGAGGAAAUUGGAGAGGAUGCAGGGGGGGCGUCUUGCUUUUGUCCCCAAGCUGAGGUGACUUUACAUUUUCAUUUUAUUAAAAGAGGAAGGAAAUAGACAUUUACUGAGUGCUAACUAUGCGUAAAUGCUGUGCUGUGACUUUCUGUGGGAUUGAAGGACACAAGGCGGGUAGUGGUUUGAUUCCCGUUGUACCUAUCAGGAAAUAAGGCUCAGAGAGGUUAAGUUAUUUCCCUGAGGUCACCCAGCUGGUUAAAGGAGAGCUGGAGUUGGAGCGCAGGUUGAGAUGACCCUGAAGCACAUGCUUUUCUCCAUGCACUGGGAAAAUAUAACCACAUUUUAAACAGUUUUGAAAAUAGAAUAAAGGAAAAAAAAUUCACCCGUAAUUUAACUAUUGUUUAUACCACCUCGUUUAGUAUUUAUUGUAUUUCCUGCUGGUGUUUUUUCCCUUUGGUGACUGUAUAUAUUUAUGUAAUAUGCAUUUUACAUAAUUAUAAUCAUAAGAGAAUUUGGUUUUGGUUAAGACCUAGAACAAGGUGGGCGGGUCUCCUGAACUGGGGCCACUGCAGAGUGAUUGAUUCUCAGCAAAAUGGAAACCUGGUUUUGGCCCCAAGCCAUCGUUUCGGUAAGGAGAUUCCUGAAUUUGCUUUGGAGAAAGCAAACUGGGUGCAGAGAGGGGCGGAAAAGACCCUUGCAUUCCCUCCUGGGUUGGUUUUGCUCAGUUAAGUGGGAGAAUUUUCCUUUUAACUCGCUUCCUUCUUGCUUUUGACAAAUGGGAAUAUUUGUACCAUUUUCCCGAAUGACCUCCUCUCCUUGGGGUAAUGAGAAACUGAAAGUCUUUGCUAAGUGCUUUGAGAUAUUCAGAUAUAAAAAUGGAGAGCAGAGUGUCGUCAGGGCCUCUCGCUGCCAGGGCGCUUUAUGAAGAGGAAGUGUAGUUUGUGGGGGUGAAGGUCAGCGUGAGGAUUGAGGCCGCUGCUGGAACCCGCGUCUCUGGGCACAAGGGCAGGGGCGCAGGAUGGGCAGGGUUGGGGGAGCCUCUGCCCGUCCUCCAGGUACACACUCCGAGUCCAGGCCCUGCGGUCAAGGUGAUCCGGAUCUGUCAGGCAGAGCCCCCACCUUGCUAGAAUCAUGUGGAUAAACGAUUCAGUUCAAGGAGCCGUCUCCCCCGGCCCCUUUCUCCAGCUCUCGCUUCAGAGCGUCAGCCCAAGAAUAACACAGCGGAAGAAAUACUGUGUCACCUGUGCAAGUAAUAAUCCUGAAGAUGAUUUCGAAACGUGGAAAAAUGUUUAUUAUGUGAGUGAAAAAAACAAAACACUGAAGGCCGAGUGUUGUGAACGGUACGAUAGAAACUGUAGAAAAAUCACAAAUACGUGUGGACAAAGCUUGAAAGGGCAGAGACUGGGAAGAGGAGGCAUGUGCUUGAGGAAGUAAAAAUGAGCAAUAGUGACUCACCCUCCACUGACCCGAGGGUCCCAGGUAUACCUUGGAGCUUCCCAGGCAGCCCCCGGGAGCCCCUAGGGAGCAGGUGGCCUUUCUUGGUGGGGAGAGAAUGCCAUGGUGGGGGGCUGGCCUGGCUCCCCAAGGUCUGCAUGGGCCUCCAGAUCCUUGUGUAGGUCUUCAGGCUCCCAGGAGGGCCCUGGCUGAAGACAGUUGUGUGAUGCCAGGGUAGGGGUACUGGGGUCCUAGGUCAGGGGACAGCUCCAGGAAGACUCUGCCAUGACGGGUGACCAUCCUGUGAGUGGAGUUGGUGGAGUGACUGUUGGCUGAAGUGAUGCUGGGUUGUGGCCGGAGCCUCUUCUCCGCCUGGGCAGUCCACACCCUCCUCGGGUGGCCCAGGGCACAGCUCUGGGUCGGGGGCUAUGGGCAGGGCAGGCUGGGAAGUAAUCCCUGGGGCAGUGGGCAAGACAGAUAGGGAGAGCCAAAACCGGACCUGCUGAUGUGGCCCUUUCUGCUCGCAGCGGAUCAUAAAAUAUGGCUCAGAUUUUCAUUACGGGCUCUAUCGAUUAUCUUCUGGGACGGAUGAAUUAUAGAGAACAUUAAAUUUUUUUAAAAAAGCAAGUGAGAGAGGAAAUAUCUGAAUGAGUUUGGGUGGUCGAUGGCAGAAAGGGCUGAGCCACCAAGCCUGUGUGGCCUCUGUCUCCAAGCAGGGUGAGAACCAGACCGCUCAGGGCAGGCAGCCUCUGACUCCAGCUCUCAGCCUCCUGGGCCUCCCGCACCUCCCUGGGCCUGGCCUUGCAUUAGGGGCAGCCUGUGCUCCCCUUGGCUGUGCCUUGUCCCUUCUAGGGAUCUGCCUAGGUUCUGGGAAGGCAAACAGUUGGUUGUUCAUGGGGUUCUGACCCAGAAAUAGGACCUUUUCCAGGCUUUAGGCCUCUGUUGCUGGGAGGUGGGCCCCUAGCUCUGCUCUUUUUCCUCCAGGGAGCUUCUGAUUCUUGAGGACAUUGCUGGUCUCCUGGGGUCAGGACUGAGACGGGGACUCCUGAGGAAUGUGGGCACCCAGGUCUGUUGGCCAUCUCAGCUUUUCUCUGCUCCUUGUUCCUCCCAUCCCCAGUCACUGGCUCAGAGGAUUUCCGUUUCCCUUUCUAAGCUUGCAAAAGAUGGGGUCCCACUGCUGUGCAUCUAAGUCCUAUCUGGAAAGAGAACCCCUGGAAGCCCAUCCCUCCCUUGCUUCCUCCCCACCCCCUUCCUUCUCCCUCUCCUUGCCAAGCAGUAUGGUGCAUAGGUGUCAGAUGGGCCUGGAUUCAAAUCACUUCCCAGUGUGUGACCUUGGGUGGGUCACAUCCCUCUCUGCGUCUUAUCCUCAACUAUCCAGUUGAGAUAAUAACCUACCUCCUUAGGUUCUUGUGAUGAUUAUAUGUAUUAAUGUAUUAAAGUCCUCAGUGUGUAGUGCUUAAUAAACGUGAGCUGUUAUUAUUUUCCUCCUCUACAGAGUCUGGAAACCUUUCCUCUUUCUUUUCAUUUGGCCUUUGACUUUGUUUAUGAAAUGGUUAUAGUUCACACUGUGUGCCAGGUACUUUUCUCAGCAUGCUACAAAUAGUACAUCUUUUUCAUCCUCAUGACCGUAUGCGGGAGGAACUAUUAUUAUCUCCAUUUUACUGAUGGGAAAACUGAGGCACAGAGAGGUUAAAGUAAUUUGCCCAGGGUUACACAGCUUAUAAGUGGCCACUAAUACCUGGCAGUCUGGCUCCAAAGCUUAUAUAUUAAGCCAUUAUGGCAUGCUGUCCUAGUGAUCUGGUGGGGUGGCAUGUGUAUGUGCGUGUGAGCAUGUGCGCAAGCAUGUGUGUGCUCACACAUGUUCCAACAGCCCUGCCCUUGUGGUGGUUUCCAUCUGACCCCUCUUCCUGACCCUCCACCUGAUAGGGCUCCCUCAGGUCAUCAGCAACGCGAGCAUUUUCUGGGGCCCUGUUCUGGGUGGAGUGUGUCUCCCCACCCCCAUGCCAUCACCCCGGCUUCACCUAGGCUACUGUGAAAAGGUGGUGGUUUCCAUGGAUAUCCGUCUCCCUCUGGAGACACGCCCUUUUUUGUAUAGCUCUGUUCCCUGGAGUUGAUUGUUUUUGGCACACCGCUCAGCAAACUCAUCCAACAAUUAAAAAGGGGGAGGGGUGGAACAAAAAGGGAGAGAUAGUAAGUGUGGG